rnacentral:rRNA from 1 species
AUACGGAAGGUCCGGGCGUUAUCCGGAUUUAUUGGGUUUAAAGGGAGCGCAGGCGGGAGUCUAAGCGUGCCGUGAAAAGCUGUGGCUCAACCACAGUCGUGCGGCGCGAACUGGUCUUCCUGAGUUCACGGUAAGCGGGCGGAAUUCGUGGUGUAGCGGUGAAAUGCUUAGAUAUCACGAGGAACCCCGAUUGCGAAGGCAGCCCGCUGCAGUGUUACUGACGCUCAUGUUCGAAGGCGCGGGUAUCGAACAGGAUUAGAUACCCUGGUAGUCCGCGCGGUAAACGAUGGAUGCCCGCUGUGCGCCCUUAGUGGCGCGCGGCCAAGCGAAAGCGUUAAGCAUCCCACCUGGGGAGUACGCCGGCAACGGUGAAACUCAAAUGAAUUGGCGGGG